rnacentral:sRNA from 1 species
AUUGCUGCUGUGUCUGUGACAUCUGGUGCUGCUCAUCCCCAUCCACAAACUGGAAAAUGAUUUCCUAUGUAAUCAUGCAUCCAACUGGGCUGUGCUAUUUUUUUAAAUGAAAUCUUUGGAAUUAAGAGAAAAACAAGCUGAAAAGGAAGAAAAGCAGAAAACAAAGAAAAUAGAAACAAGUGCAGAAAAGUUGCGUAAGCUCUUAAAAGAAGAGAAGAGGCUAAAGAAGAAAAGAAGAAAAUCAACUUCUUCUUCAAGUGUUUCUUCUGCUGAUGAAUCAAUGUCUUCAUCAUCCUCUUCCUCUUCUGGUCACAAAAGGCAUAAGAAACAUAAGAGGAACCGUUCAGAGUCUUCUCGCAGUUCCAGAAGGCAUUCAUCUAGGGCAUCCUCAAAUCAGAUAGAUCAGAAUAGGAAAGAUGAGUGCUACCCAGUUCCAGCUAAUACUUCAGCAUCUUUUCUUAACCAUAAACAAGAAGUGGAGAAACUACUGGGGAAGCAGGAUAGGUUACAGUAUGAAAAGACACAGAUAAAAGACAAAGAUAGAUGCCCUCUCUCUUCAUCUUCACUUGAAAUACCGGAUGAUUUUGGAGGUAGGUCUGAAGAUCCAAGAGAUUUUUAUAAUAGCUACAAAACCCAAGCAGGUAGUAGCAAAACAGAAAAGCCAUAUAAAUCAGAAAGACAUUUUUCCAGUAGAAGAAAUUCCUCAGAUUCCUUCUGUAGGAAUUCAGAGGACAAGAUUUAUGGUUAUAGGAGAU